rnacentral:rRNA from 1 species
GACGAACGCUGGCGGCGUGCUUAACACAUGCAAGUCGAACGAAGUGGCGAACGGGUGAGUAACGCGUAAUCAACCUGCCCUUCAGAGGGGGACAAAAGUUGGAAACGACUGCUAAUACCGCAUACUGAAGGAGGGGAAUGCGUCUGAUUAGCUAGGUGGAGGGGUAACGGACCACCAAGGCGAUGAUCAGUAGCCGGUCUGAGAGAAUGGCCGGCCACCUUGGAACUCAGACACGUCCCAGACUCCUACGAGAGGCAGCAGUGGGGACUCUUCCGCAAUGGACGAAAGUCUGACGGAGCAACGCCGCGUGAGUGAUGACGGCCUUCGGGUUGUAAAGCUCUGUUAAUCGGGACGCGGUACCGGAAUAGAAAGCCACGGCUAACUACGUGCCAGCAGCCGCGGUAAGAC